ensembl:rRNA 5S_rRNA 5S ribosomal RNA
ACGGAUAGCAGCAGUCCCCAGAUGUUCAAAGUCUCACAUGGUCGCCCACUGAAGCUAAGCAGGGCUGCGCCCGGUCAGUACCUGGAUGGGAGACCACUUGGGAAAGCUAGGUUGCUGCCGGAA